rnacentral:rRNA from 1 species
AGCAGCCGCGGUAAUUCCAGCUCCAACAGCGUAUAUUAAAGUUGUUGCAGUUAAAAGCUCGUAGUUGAAUUUCGGGAUUGACACAUCGGUCGUGCCUUAAGGGGUGUGAACUGGUGUAGUCAAUUUCUCACCUUCUGGAGAACCGCGAUGUCCUUAAUUGGGUGCCGCGAGGAACCAGGACCUUUACUUUGAAAAAAUUAGAGUGUUUAAAGCAGGCAUUUUUGCUUGAAUACAUUAGCAUGGAAUAAUAAAAUAGGACGGCAUGAUUCUAUUUUGUUGGUUUCUAGGAUCACCGUAAUGAUUAAUAGGGAUAGUUGGGGGCAUUAGUAUUCAAUUGUCAGAGGUGAAAUUCUUGGAUUUAUUGAAGACUAACUACUGCGAAAGCAUUUGCCAAGGAUGUUUUCAUUAAUCAAGAACGAAAGUUAGGGAUCGAAGACGAUCAGAUACCGUCGUAGUCUUAACCAUAAACUAUAGCCGACUAGGAAUCAGACGAUGUUAAUUUUACUUAGUAUCUUGUUCG